GGCACCUGGAUCACACACUACAGCACACAGAAAGAUGAAGGAGACACGGGUGAGCAAGUUCAACUGGGUGUCAUAGCUAGGACCUUCCUGUUUUCCUGUCAUUGCAACUGUAGUGUUACUGAGGUGAUAGGAGCCACCUCAAAGAUGAAACAAUGUUUUGAUUGUAAAUGCAGCCCCCAGUGGUUACACAGGACUGGUAAGGCCUAACACAAGCUAUUGGGUAUUUUAAUUACAGGUCACUAAGCAGCUUCGAGUCUGGAGAGUUUGUUGAAUGCACUGAGCAGUUGGAAUUAUUGCCAGGAGAAAAUAUUAAUCUGCUUGCUGGAGGGUCAAAAGAAAAAAUAGAUAUGAAAAAGCUGCUUCCUAACAUGCUAAGCCCAGACCCACGGGAGCUUCAGAAAUCCAUUGAAGUCCAAUUGUUGAGAAGCUCCGUGUUCCUGGCAACUGCUCUAAACCAUGUGGAACAAGAUCAGAAAUGGCAGUCCUUAACCGAAAAUGUGGUAAAGUACUUGAAGCAAACCUCACGCAUCGCUAUUGGACCACUAAGAUUGUCUACGCUAACGGUGUCACAGUCCUUGCCAGUACUGAGUACCCUGCAGCUCUACUGCUCCUCUGCACUGGAGAACACAGUUUCU
rnacentral:lncRNA from 1 species